rnacentral:misc_RNA from 1 species
GAUGAAGAACGCAGCGAAAUGCGAUAAGUAAUGUGAAUUGCAGAAUUCAGUGAAUCAUCGAAUCUUUGAACGCACAUUGCGCCCCUCGGUAUUCCGGGGGGCAUGCCUGUCCGAGCGUCAUUGCUGCCCUCAAGCACGGCUUGUGUGUUGGGCCUCCGUCCUCCUCCCGGGGGACGGGCCCGAAAGGCAGCGGCGGCACCGCGUCCGGUCCUCGAGCGUAUGGGGCUUCGUCACCCGCUCUUGUAGGCCCGGCCGGCGCUUGCCGACACAUCAAUCUUUUUUCCAGGUUGACCUCGGAUCAGGUAGGGAUACCCGCUGAACUUAAGCAUAUCAAUAAGCGGAGGA